rnacentral:rRNA from 1 species
GAUGAACGCUGGCGGCGUGCUUAACACAUGCAAGUCGAGCGAAGCACUUUUGCGGAUUUUUUCGGAUUGAAGCAACUGUGACUGAGCGGCGGACGGGUGAGUAACGCGUGGGUAACCUGCCUCAUACAGGGGGAUAACAGUUGGAAACGGCUGCUAAUACCGCAUAAGCGCACAGUACCGCAUGGUACCGUGUGAAAAACUCCGGUGGUAUGAGAUGGACCCGCGUCUGAUUAGCUAGUUGGUGGGGUAACGGCCUACCAAGGCGACGAUCAGUAGCCGACCUGAGAGGGUGACCGGCCACAUUGGGACUGAGACACGGCCCAAACUCCUACGGGAGGCAGCAGUGGGGAAUAUUGCACAAUGGGGGAAACCCUGAUGCAGCGACGCCGCGUGAGCGAUGAAGUAUUUCGGUAUGUAAAGCUCUAUCAGCAGGGAAGAAAAUGACGGUAC